UGAGGAACAUGACCUUCGGCGGGGGAUAGCCGGCCCAACGGCCGGGUAAUACCGCGUACGACCACAUGGGGACAUCCCUGAGUGGUGAAAGCAGCAAUGCGCCGAUGGAAUGCCUCGCGGCCUAUCAGCUAGUUGGUGAGGUAACGGCUCACCAAGGCGACGACGGGUANCUGGUCUGAGAGGAUGGCCAGCCACAUUGGGACUGAGACACGGCCCAGACCUNUACCGGGGAG
rnacentral:rRNA from 1 species